rfam:Gossypium raimondii Chr09_contig_1713, whole genome shotgun sequence.
CCUUAAAUUUCAUCCAUUUUUAUUGUUAAAAAUUGGUCUGGCUGACAGAAUAAUCAAACAGUUAUAAGUGGUGUGCACCUCAUUCUAACAUACAUGGACCAGACUUUAACAAUAUAAUUGAAUGAAUUUUUAACA